GAGUUUGAUCCUGGCUCACAACGAACGCUGGCGGCAGGCUUAACAGAUGCAAGUCGAGCGCCCCGCAAGGGGAGCGGCAUACGGGUGAGUAACGCGUGGGAACAUACCCUUUGGUUCGGAAUAACUCAGGGAAACUUGAGCUAAUACCGGAUACGAUCCGUAAGGAGAAAGAUUUAUCGCCAAAGGAUUGGCCCGCGUCCGAUUAGCUAGUUGGUGAGGUAACGGCUCACCAAGGCUACUAUCGGUAGCUGGUCUGAGAGGAUGAUCAGCCACAUUGGGACUGAGACACGGCCCAAACUCCUACGGGAGGCAGCACUGGGGAAUAUUGGACAAUGGGCGCAAGCCUGAUCCAGCCAUGCCGCGUGAGUGAUGAAGGCCUUAAGGUUGUAAAGCUCUUUUGUCCGGGAAGAUAAUGACUGUACCGGAAGAAUAACCCCCGGCUAACUUCCUGCCACCAUCCGCGGUAAGACUAAGGGGGCUAGAGUUGUUCGGAAUCUCUGGCCGUAAAGUGCAAGUAUGCGGACCGUUAAGUCGGAUGUGAAAGCCUGGGGCUCAACCCCAGAACUGCCUUCCAUACGGGCGGUCUUGAGUAUGGUAGAUGUUGGUGGAACUCCGAGUGUAGAGGUGAAAUUCGUAGAUAUUCGGAAGAACACCAGUGGCGAAGGCGUGCAACUGGACCAUUACUGACUCUGAGGUGAGAAAGCGUGGGGAGCAAACAGGAUUAGAUACGCUGGUAGUCCACGCUGUAAACGAUGAGAGCUAGCCGUUGGGGUGCAUGCACAUCAGUGGAGCAGCUAACGCGUUAAGCUCUCCGCCUGGGGAGUACGGUCGCAAGAUUAAAACUCAAAGGAAUUGACGGGGGCCCGCACAAGCGGUGGAGCAUGUGGUUUAAUUCGAAGCAACGCGCAGAACCUUACCAGCCCUUGACAUGCCUCGGAAGUGGACGAGAGAUCGAUCACGCUGUUGGGAGCCGGGGACACAGGUGCUGCAUGGCUGUCGUCACCUCGUGUCGUGAGAUGUUGGGUUAAGUCCCGCAACGAGCGCAACCCUCGCCCUUAGUUGCCAUCAUUCAGUUGGGCACUCUAGGGGGACUGCCGGUGAUAAGCCGGAGGAAGGUGGGGAUGACGUCAAGUCCUCAUGGCCCUUACGGGCUGGGCUACACACGUGCUACAAUGGCGGUGACAGUGGGCAGCAAGGCAGCAAUGCCAAGCUAAUCUCAAAAAGCUGUGUCAGUUCGGAUUGAGGUGUGCAACUCGUCCUCACGAAGUUGGAAUCGGUAGUAAUCGCGGAUCAGAACGCCGCGGUGAAUACGUUCCCGGGCCUUGUACACACCGCCCGUCACACCAUGGGAGUUGGUCUUACCCGAAGGGGAUGCGCUAGCCGCAAGGGGGCAGUCGACCACGGUAGCGUCAGCGACUGGGGCGAAGUCGUACCAAGGUAACCGUA
rnacentral:rRNA from 1 species